rnacentral:rRNA from 1 species
CAGUCGCCACGGUAAAACGUAGGUGGCAAGCGUUGUCCGGAAUUAUUGGGCGUAAAGGGUUCGCAGGCGGUUUCUUAAGUCUGAUGUGAAAGCCCCCGGCUCAACCGGGGAGGGUCAUUGGAAACUGGGAAACUUGAGUGCAGAAGAGGAGAGUGGAAUUCCACGUGUAGCGGUGAAAUGCGUAGAGAUGUGGAGGAACACCAGUGGCGAAGGCGACUCUCUGGUCUGUAACUGACGCUGAGGAGCGAAAGCGUGGGGAGCGAACAGGAUUAGAUACCCCAGUAGUCCCUGUCUCUUAUAC